UACGUAGGGGGCGAGCGUUGUCCGGAUUUAUUGGGCGUAAAGAGCUCGUAGGCGGUUUGGUAAGUUGGAUGUGAAAUCUCCAGGCUCAACUUGGAGGGGUCAUUCGAUACUGCCAUGACUAGAGUUCGGUAGGGGAGUGCGGAAUUCCUGGUGGAGCGGUGAAAUGCGCAGAUAUCAGGAGGAACACCCGUAGCGAAGGCGGCACUCUGGGCCGGAACUGACGCUGAGGAGCGAAAGCGUGGGGAGCGAACAGG
rnacentral:rRNA from 1 species